rnacentral:rRNA from 1 species
UACAGAGGGUGCAAGCGUUAAUCGGAAUUACUGGGCGUAAAGCGUGCGUAGGUGGUUUGUUAAGUCAGGCGUGAAAUCCUCGGGCUCAACCUGGGAACUGCGCUUGAUACUGGCAGACUCGAGUGUGGUAGAGGAUAGUGGAAUUCCCGGUGUAGCGGUGAAAUGCGUAGAUAUCGGGAGGAACAUCAGUGGCGAAGGCGGCUAUCUGGACUAACACUGACACUGAGGUACGAAAGCGUGGGUAGCAAACAGG